GGUAUUGCCUAGGUUUUCUUCUAGGAUUUUUAUGGUUUUAGGUCUUAUGUUUAAGUCUUUAAUCCAUCUUGAGUGGGCAUUUAGCCCAUUUACAUUUAAGGUUAAUAUUGUUAUGUGUGAAUUUGAUCCUGACAUUAUGAUGUUAGCUGAUUAUUUUGCCCAUUAGUUGAUGCAGCUUCUUUAUAGUGUUGACGGGCUUUACAAUUUGGUAUGUUUUUGCAGUGGCUGGUACUGGUUGUUCCUUUCCAUACCCCAAAUGAUUUCACCAUUGUUAUGACUGCUCUCAUGAUUUAUAUCCAAAUUGAACUAUCUACUUUAUUCUGGCUAAUUUGGGCAUCAUCUAGCUUUUAAAAAUUUUUUUGUAGGUACAUAGAUAAUAGGUGUGUAUAUUUAUGGGGUACAUGAGAUGUUUUGAUACAGGCAUGAUGAUUAUUUCACAUCAUG
rnacentral:lncRNA from 1 species